UACGUAGGGUGCGAGCGUUGUCCGGAAUUACUGGGCGUAAAGAGCUUGUAGGUGGUUUGUCGCGUUGGUCGUGAAAUCUCACGGCUUAACUGUGAGCGUGCGGGCGAUACGGGCAGACUAGAGUACUGCAGGGGAGACUGGAAUUCCUGGUGUAGCGGUGAAAUGCGCAGAUAUCAGGAGGAACACCGGUGGCGAAGGCGGGUCUCUGGGCAACAACUGACGCUGAGGAGCGAAAGCGUGGGGAGCGAACAGG
rnacentral:rRNA from 1 species